rnacentral:rRNA from 1 species
GACGAACGCUGGCGGCGUGCUUAACACAUGCAAGUCGAACGGAAAGGCCCUGCUUUUGUUGGGUGCUCGAGUGGCGAACGGGUGAGUAACACGUGAGUAACCUGCCCUUGACUUUGGGAUAACUUCAGGAAACUGGGGCUAAUACCGGAUAGGAGCUCCUGCUGCAUGGUGGGGGUUGGAAAGUUUCGGCGGUUGGGGAUGGACUCGCGGCUUAUCCGCUUGUUGGUGGAGUAGUUGCUUACCAAGGCUUUGACGGGUAGCCGGCCUGAGAGGGUGACCGGCCACAUUGGGACUGAGAUACGGCGCAGACUGGUACGGGAGGCAGCAGUGGGGAAUAUUGCACAAUGGGCGGAAGCCUGAUGCAGCAACGCCGGGUGCGGGAUGACGGCCUUCGAGUUGUAAACCGAUUUCGACUGUGACGAAGCGUGAGUGACGGUAAUGGGUAAAGAAGCACCGGCUAACUACGUG